GAAGCUGACCAGACAGUCGCCGCUUCGUCGUCGUCCUCCUUCGGGGGGAGACGGGCGGAGGGGAGGAAAGUCCGGGCUCCAUAGGGCAAGGUGCCAGGUAACGCCUGGGGGGUGUCACAGCCCACGACCAGUGCAACAGAGAGCAAACCGCCGAUGGCCCGCGCAAGCGGGAUCAGGUCGUACUGAACCCGGGUAGGCUGCUUGAGCCAGUGAGCGAUUGCUGGCCUAGAUGAAUGACUGUCCACGACAGAACCCGGCUUAUCGGUCAGUUUCACCU
rnacentral:RNase_P_RNA from 1 species